CACAGUCGGAUCCGGCGUCACGUUAAAAAAACUCAGCCACGACCCCGUUUCCCCAACCGACGAAAGGGGAAAGGAGAAACCCGGGACUCGGAAAAAAAGAGAGAAAAAGAAAGAGAAAGAAAACCCCCUUCCGCCUCUUCUUAGGUGGUGGGAUUCUUUCUCUCCAGCGACCAAAGAGUGGGAUUGAAGCGAAGGGAGGAGAGGAGAGAGAGAUCGAGGGAGAGGCGGAGAGGGAGAGUGAUGUCGUGCUCGUCGUCGUCGGGGUCAGGGGAGGAGGACGAGGGCGUCGACGCCUACCGGAAGGGCGGCUACCACGCCGUCCGAGUCGGCGACCAGUUCGCCGGCGGCCGGUACAUCGCCCAGCGGAAGCUUGGAUGGGGCCACUUCUCCACCGUCUGGCUCGCCUUCGACACCCGAUGCAAAAGAUUUGUAGCCCUGAAAAUUCAAAAAAGUGCAGCAGAGUUUGCUCAAGCUGCUCUUCAUGAGAUUGAGAUUCUCUCAGCAAUUGCGAAAGGAGAUCCCUCAAAUUCCAAGUGCAUAGUUCGUCUUCUGGACCAUUUUAAGCAUGCUGGCCCAAAUGGGCAGCAUCUUUGCUUGGUAUUUGAAUUCCUUGGUGACAGCCUACUCCGGCUAAUCCGGUACAACAGAUAUAAGGGCAUUGGCCUGAACAGGGUUAGAGACAUAUGCAGAUCAAUCUUGUUGGGUCUUGAUUACUUGCACAGGGAGCUCGGUCUCAUUCAUGCAGAUUUGAAACUGGAAAAUGUUCUUCUUGUCUCUACCAUUGAUCCUUUGAAAGAUCCUGUGCGAUCUGGAUUUUCCCCAAUCCUUGAGAGGCCUGAGGGCAAUGCAAAUGGGGCACUUGUGGCCAGUAGCAUUGAGAAGAAGCUGAAGAAGAAAGCAAGGAGGGCAGCAGCAAGGAUAUCUGGGAGAAGAUCAUCAAUGGGAGGAACAUUGCAGCCGACACAGCGGGAAAGGAGCUUGGAUGGGAUUGAUUUGAGAUGCAAGGUUGUGGAUUUUGGGAAUGCUUGUUGGGUGGAUAAGCAGUUUACAGAUAAUAUUCAGACAAGGCAGUAUAGGUCUCCUGAGGUUAUUCUCCGGGCAGGGUACUCAUUUUCAGCUGAUAUAUGGUCUUUUGCUUGCAUUGCUUUUGAGCUUGCAACUGGUGACAUGUUGUUUACACCUAAGGAGGGACAAGGAUAUAGCGAAGAUGAGGAUCACUUGGCUCUGAUGAUGGAGCUACUUGGGAAAAUGCCUCGAAAGAUUGCUACUUCGGGAUCUCAAUCAAAGGACUUCUUUGACAGGCAUGGAGACCUGAAGAGAAUCCGAAGGCUGAAAUUCUGGCCCUUGGAUCGUCUUCUUGUUGAGAAGUACAAAUUUCUUGACUCGGAUGCCCAAGAAUUUGCUAACUUUCUUUGCCCUCUACUUGAUUUUGCUCCUGAGAAGCGGCCAACAGCUGCAGACUGCCUGCAGCACCCAUGGCUUAAGAGCAGAGAUAAAAAGCUCACUGAUGAAAAUAUCGAAGCAAGUGUAGAAAGGCUGGAGAUGGGCGUGAGCAGCAAGCUCAAAGUUUAGGCGCACAAGUGAAAAUAUUUUAAACAUGCCACAUGCAAAGAUUAUCCUACUCCAUGUUGGUUUUUAUCAAGGACAGUGUCUAAAAGAUCAUGGAUGAAGGUCUAGGUAAUUAACCCGCAUUAUAUUAUAGUAAUAGAGAUGUGUGUAAUUUCCUUUAUAAAUGCAUUAACUGUCAAGCUUAGAUCCUUCUUCAAUUCUCAUCUUACAGCACGAACAUUCAAGGAUUUCUUUAAAUUCUACUAGAGUCACAAAUACUUGUUUAGAGAGUAAAGCAAGUACCAUUUGCAACCGUUAUUUAUUUAUUUUUUUGGUAACAGGGAGAGAAGAUACUUGCUACAAACGUUUGAAGGUAAUGCCCGAAGCGUCUGCAGUCUGCACUAAUGGAUUGAGAAGAUACUUUAUGAUGAUGUUCAAUGCAGGCCAUAUUUGCCAAACAAUCAGCUACCUGAUUUGCUUCUCGAAGAACAUGAAGACAAGCAAAGUUGGAGUGGCGUAUAUCAUCUUGAUGUUUCUCAAGGCCGGAUGAUGCGAAGACUCCUUCCCAUUAAUCCAUUUCACCACUGUAUUUGAGUCCCUUUUCGAACAAAAGUUUAUCACCCUGAACUAUAUUUUUCAAUCCAUACCAUGCAGCCAUAGAUUCUGCUAUAGGUACAGAAUUUGUAAUUAUAGGGAUUGAUGCAGCAUAAAGAACUCUUCCUAUAUUAUUCCGAAUAACAAACUCGGUACCUGCAGCAUUAGGCCGAA